GGUACUUAAUCUAAUCAAUCUAAAUAUAUAUAAGUAUAUAAAUCUAAUAAUGAGAAAAAAAAAAAAUAUAUAUAAGUAUUGGUGAUAGGCAAUAAAUAAUAUGCUGUCGUCGUCAAAACGGUGUCCACUCAGCUACUGCAGCGCCUUUGGUUGGUUUAAAGGACACUGCGCUGGUUUUCAGUGGAAGCCUUAUAGUGACGCACUACGCGUAGGUAGUUAAUAAAAAUCAAACGAAAACACGGGGGAAACAAAAACAAAGUGAAGUGCGCGAGCGACGACAUGGCGGAGCGCGUUCGCCCUGAAAUCUACUUUCAGGCAGGAGCGGCACACAUAGCCGGCCACACGUGUCGCGCGCGCACCGAGACAAAUAAUAAAAACGAGAUAAUAACACUAAUUAAUAUCAAUAUAAAGUGAACAGAAACACGACACAUUAUAAUAACAUAAAGAAACAAUAAUGAUAAAUAACAUUAAGAAUUACGGUUCCAAGGAUUAAAAUGAAAUGUCAAAGCGUGUAGAAGAAUAUUAUGAACGAUGAACGUGUGUGUGUAGCAGACAAUGAUGGGAAUGGGCCUGCAACCAUGCAAACGAAAUCCUACCUUGCGCAUCGUGGAUAAAAUUCAAACCACGUAUAGGGGGUGGGAGAUUAUUGAAGAUGUCGCUGGCAAGAUACUUAAAGCUAUGCCGAUACAUGGCUGAUUUGUGCUUGGGGGUGAGCAUCAGAUACGUGGAGGCCCUCGUGUUGAUGGUGUGGUGUUGGCGCGCCCAGUUCAGCUUAUCAUACAGAUAAUCUGGCGACUGAUGCUUCACGACGCCAAAGAGGAGAGUAGCCAGGUGCAACUUCCAUCUCGCCGCAAUCUUCAGCAGGUUUGACCUAUUUAGAAAGGGUGUUACAUGAGUGCGCGGGGGAAUGUUGAAGCAGAACCGAGCGCAGGCAUUCUGCACCCUUUGAACCAACCUUUCUGUUUUACGCAGUAAGCACGGUCCAUAUACAGUGUCGGCAUAGUUCAAUUUAGAUAGUACCAGUGAUUCGCACAACUGUAUACGGAGGGCUUCAUCGAUGUACGGUCUUAUGUUAUACAGAAGUUUAAGUCUGUAAAAACAAUUUGUAACCAUGUUCAUAACAUGUUUCUCGAAACGUAGGUUACUGUCAAACACAAGACCCAGGUUGCGCGCUUCUGUAACCCUUUCAAUAACCGUCCCAUUUAGUAUAAUGUUAGGGUUUUCUGCUAGGGUAUCUUUGACCUGCUUUUUGGUACCAAUUAUCAUAUACAUAGAUUUGUUCGGGUUAAGGUGAAGGGAGUUAUUAUUAGACCAGGUUGUAAUCCGCUCUAAGUCCUCAUUAAUGAGCUUACAUGUUAGCUCUGUCUCGUGUGGGGGGCAUGACAAGUAUAUUUGUAGGUCAUCUGCGUAGACAUGAAAACUACAGUUUUUCACCUCCAAAGCGAUGUCACAGGCGUACAGUAUAAAUAGUAGAGGUCCUAGGAUAGAUCCUUGUGGCACACCCCUGGUCACUGAAUAAUUCGCUGAUAAAAUAGUUGUACCAUCAGAUUUUCUCAACUUGACAAUCUGGGAUCUUCGAUCUAGGUAACUAAAGAACCAUCUCACCGUGCUGGGGUCAAAACCAUAAUAUGUCAAUUUUGCCAGCAGUAGCGGGACACUGAUCGUGUCAAAAGCGCGGGAAAAGUCGAGUAGUGUCAGUAUGGU